rnacentral:ncRNA from 1 species
AUAAUAUUUGAAUAAAAGUAGUAAAUAAUUAAAAAAUUUCAGAGAGUUGAUGGGCGGUGCGAAUCAAUAUUUAAGGUUAUUGAACUUGUUUAUUAAAAGAAUAUUCGUAUAUCUGCGUUAAAGAUUUGAGUGGGAUUAACCAAUAAGAGUGGUACCGCGGAAUUUUAUUUCGUCUCUUCU